rnacentral:rRNA from 1 species
UCAAAAACAUGUCUUUUUGAUAAUAAUUUAAAGUCUAAUCUGCCCACUGAUAUAUUAUAUUAAAGGGCUGCAGUAUAUUGACUGUACAAAGGUAGCAUAAUCAUUAGUCUUUUAAUUGAAGACUUGUAUGAAAGAUUUGAUGAAAUAUAAACUGUCUCUAAUUUAUAUAUAGAAAUUAAUUUUUUAGUUAAAAAGCUAAAAUAAAGUUAAAAGACGAGAAGACCCUAUAGAGUUUUAUAUUUUACUUGUUUAAUGUUAAAUAUAUAAUUAAAUUAUAUAAAAAAAUUAAAAUAUUGUGUUGGGGUGAUAGAAAAAUUUAAUAAACUUUUUUUUUGUGGUUAAACAUAAAUAAGUGAUUAAUUGAUCCAUUUUUAGUGAUUAAAAGAAAAAAUUACCUUAGGGAUAACAGCGUAAUAUUUUUUUUUAGUACAAAUAAAAAAAAAAGUUUGCGACCUCGAUGUUGGAUUAAGAUAAAAUUUAAAUGCAAAAGUUUAAAAUUUUGAUCUGUUCGAUCAUUAAAAUCUUACAUGAUCUGAGUUCAAACCGGAGA